rnacentral:rRNA from 1 species
UACGUAGGGUGCGAGCGUUAAUCGGAAUUACUGGGCGUAAAGCGUGCGCAGGCGGUUUUGUAAGUCAGAUGUGAAAGUCCAGGGCUCAACCCUGGAAAGCCGGUGGAUACUGCGGGGCUAGAGUGCAGAAGGGGCAACUGGAAUUCUCGGUGUAGCGGUGAAAUGCGCAGAUAUCAGGAAGAACACCCGUGGCGAAGGCGGCUCUCUGGGACGGUACUGACGCUGAGACGCGAAAGCGUGGGGGAGCGAACAGG